AACUGGUGUUGCAAUCAUAAACGAAUGAAAACUAUUUAAUUAAAAGCCAGUUGGCUGUAGGACUCAUAAAGUGCAUUGCAUAAAGGACAUUUGCAUCGCUUUGGGGACAGUAGAGACAAGGCAUAAGGGACACUGGACGUUAAAUUUAACAGCUUUGGUAAUUACAAAACAGUUUGGUUACGGAGGCUCAAUAUAUGCUCGGAGCUUAGUAACACCUACGGAUUGCCUUACAGAUUUUAUUGAGACAUUAUCAGGCAAAACAAAUGGGGGACAAUUUGCAGCUAUGGUGCCGACUUUUAUGGCCGGCAACAUCCACAGAAAGGCGUUACGGAAUGGCCAAAGGGGGCGUGGAGCAUGGACAUAGUUUUGCCCGAAGCUUUUCCAUAUAUAAUAAAUUGCGAUGGCAAUGUAUGUAUGAGCGAUAACCGUGCGUAUACGCAACGUAUUCUCGACAUUUCGUUGUUUCGGGCAAUUCGGUGUGUUUUGUGUGCCAUUUUUAUGGCUCAUAACCGACAACAUCGGCAUGCGAAUGACAGAUAUUUGUUUUGUUGUCUCGAUCCGAGCCCACGGCUAUGGCAAUGACUAGAUAAAACUGCAGGCUAUUAAUACGCCUCGCCUGCCCAAUUAAUUGAGCUGUAGAAUGCAAAUUAAAUAAAAAUCAAAAUACCUAAUAACUUUGCCCCAAUAAACCAUAUCUAUAUUUGCCCUGGUUACCCGGAGACUCAUUGGAUGGCUUGUUGACACGGACGUAGACCAAAAAAAAAAUAAUAAUACAUAAAUAAAUUUGUGCCACAGGCAAACAAUGUAUACCGCUGCUUUAUUGGUGCUAAAAGGCGGAGGAUAAGCGAAGUGUAAGAUUGGCAGCAUAUUUUGUACAAGCACAAACCGAGCCGCAGCCUGAGUGAUGCCCCAAGUGGAUGCUAGGACUAGGACCCAGAGCCAGCCCAGGCGACAAUUUGUGUUUAUUCAAAAUAAAUUUGAAGCACUUAAUAAAAUAUUAGCAGCAAGCUAAAGGAAGGCAACGACGGCAGUCAAGUGACGUCAAGUAAGGAAAACAGCUUUGAACGUGCUGCAAAAGAGCUGAAAAGUCAAAAUUUUCAAGUACCUUGACGCUGUGUGGGCGAAGGAUGUUGAUAUUUGACACAUUGACAGGCAUUUCAGAGGGAUGCAAGCUUGUAGUUGUAUACUGAUUGCCCUUUAAAAUGAAGCAAUUUGUUUAAGAUACUUAAGCUGCGUCUAUUGACACUUUUAAGGCUACAUUAAAUUGAGCACUGUGUUUAAUCACACAAAACAAUUUAAAUUUAGCGCUUUAUUUAGCAGCGGCCUUUCGAUAAACGAUAGCUAUCGAUUCAUGUGACUGUUAGCUAACAUAAACACUGAGAGAAAGCAGUAAGAGCUAAAUGUACAUCAGGUUUCUAUGAUCAUAAAAUUCACUAUGGACAAAACGUAUGCAUACAUAUAUCAAAUGUAUAUACAUACGAAAUGGAAAUAAUGUGCCUCCAUUUUAAUAAAGCUAAUUAAUACUAAACA